UCACGAACAGGGCAAACCAUUUGAAAAAAUGGGACGCAAAGCUUCCGGCCUAACAGGGUGUGAAUCGAAAUGUUUUCACUCUCAUGGUAGCGGGGUUACCGAU
rnacentral:ncRNA from 1 species